GUAGCGAAAUUCCUUGUCGGGUAAGUUCCGACCUGCACGAAUGGCGUAACGAUGGCCACACUGUCUCCUCCUGAGACUCAGCGAAGUUGACAUGGUUGUGAUGAUGCAAUCUACCCGCGGCUAGACGGAAAGACCCCGUGCACCUUUACUGCAGCUUUGCAUUGGACUGUGAUGGAAUUUGUGUAGGAUAGCUGGGAGGCUAUGAAGAGUAGACGCUAGUUUGCUUGGAGCCAUCCUUGAAAUACCAGCCUGAUUGUAUUGCGGUUCUAACCUAGGUCCCUUAUCGGGAUCGGGGACCAUGCAUGGUAGGCAGUUUGACUGGGGCGGUCUCCUCCCAAAGAGUAACGGAGGAGUUCGAAGGUUCGCUAGGUACGGUCGGACAUCGUACUGAUAGUGCAUUGGCAUAAGCGAGCUUGACUGCGAGACUGACGGGUCGAGCAGGUGCGAAAGCAGGACAAAGUGAUCCGGUGGUUCUGAAUGGAAGGGCCAUCGCUCAACGGAUAAAAGGUACGCCGGGGAUAACAGGCUGAUCUCCCCCAAGAGUUCAUAUCGACGGGGAGGUUUGGCACCUCGAUGUCGGCUCAUCACAUCCUGGGGCUGUAGCCGGUCCCAAGGGUAUGGCUGUUCGCCAUUUAAAGUGGUACGCGAGCUGGGUUUAGAACGUCGUGAGACAGUUUGGUCCCUAUCUACCGUGGGCGCUGGAAGUUUGAGAGGACCUGCUCCUAGUACGAGAGGACCGGAGUGGACGUAUCUCUGGUGUACCGGUUGUCACGCCAGUGGCAUUGCCGGGUAGCUAAAUACGGAAGAGAUAAGCGCUGAAAGCAUCUAAGCGCGAAACUCGCCUCGAGAUGAGACUUCCCGGAGGUAUAACCUCCCUAAAGGGUCGUUGCAGACUACAACGUUGAUAGGUCGGGUGUGCAAGCGCAGCAAUGCGUUCAGCUAACCGAUACUAAUUGCCCGUGCGGCUUGAUCCU
rnacentral:rRNA from 1 species